UACUGUUCCUAUCCAUAUAAUAGGGGAUAAUGUCUUUUCCUAGCAGCAAGUCCCUGAUGUUUUUCACGACUCUGUAAUGUGUCAUGGCUUCUAUAUUACUGCAAAAGUUUCAAUCAUGAUUCUGCCACAGCUAAUAACCACAUAUUGGGAAAAGCCUCUUUGAUGCCUAUAGAAUCCAAACUGGGAUACAUUCCCUAGUCAGCCCAGCUGUUCCUUUGGGUCUAAGUAUUCGCUAACUUAGCUGUGGGGUGUUUAUUUGUUUACUUGUUUUGGGGUUUGAUAUCUUUAAAUUGCCUCAACAAUGUUUUUUCCUUCCUGUUUCAGGUUAAAAAGACUAAAGGUGGCUCCUUUUUAAUGAGCUGUGAAAGAUGAGGAAACUGAAGCAGACAGAAAUUAAAUGACUUCCCAAGUCACAUGACUGGUAUAAUGGCGCAUGUGCAGACCUCAUCAGCUGGCUCAAUUGAUGCAACCUCUCCAAUACAAGUCAUGGCUUACAAUUAAAUUAGUUCAAUACUGAUGCACUAAGAAGCAAGAAGUAAUAUUUGGAAAUGACAUUUGGAACCUCAGACUAGAGGAAGAAUCCUUCUGGGAGACAUGCUGCAUCUGUACAUGAACUUAUGUAGCAGAAGCUAUGCAGGAAAUUCAUUGUAAUGAAUGUAUUUGAACAAAAAUCAAAGUGAUAAAAGGGAGAUGUACUUUGGGAAUAUUGGGGGAAAUGCUCAUAGAAUUAUUCUUGUUAUAGCUUUGAAGUAAAAACUACUUGAUAUGAAAUGGAAUUGGGGUGCUAAUAAUGGAGCUUUAACGAUGGGAAAAUAUAACCCAUUGGAGCUUGAGGUAGUAUCAUAGAAAAGAGAUACCCUAUGCAUGAGGGGAAUUUCCCCCCGAGGGAGAGAUGUAGCUUGCUUGUCUGUGAGAGAGAGAAGCCCAGAGCAUACUAAUAAUGAUAAUAAUGACAAUAACAACAAUAAAAACUAUGA